rnacentral:lncRNA from 1 species
CUUAUUAGGUAAAUUUCCAUAUCAAUAUCAUGCUGAUAACUAUCAUCAGCUAUUUCAUUGGUCUUAUCUAAAUUAAGACACGGAACACUGCAGGUCAGACAUGGAACACCACAGGUCAGACUCAGAACACAGCAGGUCAGACAUGGAACACCACAGGUCAGACACGGAACACCGCAGGUCAGACUCGGAAAACAGCAGGAACACAGCAGGUCAGACUCGGAACACAGCAGGUCAGACACGGAACACCGCAGGUCAGACACGGAACACCGCAGGUCAGACUCGGAACACAGCAGGUCAGACACGGAACACCGCAGGUCAGACUCAGAACACAGCAGGUCAGACAUGGAACACCGCUGGUCAGACUCGGAACACAGCAGGUCAGACAUGGAACACCGCAGGUCAGACUCAGAACACAGCAGGAACACCGCAGGUCAGACUCAGAACACAGCAGGUCAGACACGGAACACCGCAGGUCAGACACGGAACACUGCAGGUCAGACUCGGAACACAGCAGGAACACCACAGGUCAGACUUGGAACACUGCAGGAACACAGCAGGUCAGACUUGGAACACCGCAGGUCAGACUCAGAACACAGCAGACACGGAACACCGCAGGUCAGACUCAGAACACAGCAGACACGGAACACCGCAGGUCAGACUUGGAACACAGCAGGUCAGACACGGAACACCGCAGGUCAGACAUGGAACACCGCAGGUCAGACUCGGAACACAGCAGACACGGAACACCGCAGGUCAGACUCAGAACACAGCAGGUCAGACACGGAACACCGCAGGUCAGACUUGGAACACAGCAGGAACACAGCAAGUCAGACUCAGAACACAGCAGGAACACAGCAGGUCAGACUCGGAACACAGCAGGAACACCGCAGGUCAGACUCGGAACACAGCAGGAACACCGCAGGUCAGACACGGAACACAGCAGGAACACCACAGGUCAGACUCGGAACACAGCAGGUCAGACUCGGAACACCGCAGGUCAGACUCGGAACACAGCAGGAACACAGCAGGUCAGACUCGGAACACAGCAGGAACACAGCAGGUCAGACGCGGAACACAGCAGGUCAGACGCGGAACAUAGCAGGUCAGACGCGGAACACAGCAGGUCAGACGCGGAACACAGCAGGAACACAGCAGGUCAGACGCGGAACACAGCAGGUCAGAUGCGGAACACAGCAGGUCAGACUCGGAACACAGCAGGAACACAGCAGGUCAGAUGCGGAACACAGCAGGUCAGACUCGGAACACAGCAGGAACACAGCAGGUCAGACGCGGAACACAGCAGGAACACAGCAGGUCAGACGCGGAACACAGCAGGUCGGAGGCGUAACACAGCAGGUCGGAGGCGUAACACAGCAAGUCAGACGCGGAACACAGCAGGGCAGACACGGAACACAGCAGGUCAGACGCGGAACACAGCAGGUCAGACGCGGAACACAGCAGGUCAGACGUGGAACACAGCAGGAACACAGCAGGUCAGACACGGAACACAGCAGGUCAGACAUGGAACGCAGCAGGUCAGGCUUGGAACGCAGCAGGUCAGGCUUGGAAUGCAGCAGGUCAGACGCGGAACACAACAGGCCAGAUGCGUAA